GAUGAACGCUGGCGGCGUGCUUAACACAUGCAAGUCGAACGGAAAGGCCUCUGCUUGGAGGGGUGCUCGAGUGGCGAACGGGUGAGUAACACGUGGGUAAUCUGCCCUGCACUUCGGGAUAAGCCUGGGAAACUGGGUCUAAUACCGGAUAGGACAUUGUUCUGGAUGCUGUUGUGGAGAGUUUUUCGGGGUGGGAUGAGGUCGCGGCGUAUCAGCUUGUUGGUGGGGUAAUGGGCUACCAAAGCGUCGAGGGGGAGACGGCGCGAGAGGGUGUACGGCCACAUUGGGAGACAGAUACGGGGCAGAGUCCUCCGCGGGGGAGAAGUGGGGAAAAUUGCGCAAUGGGGGCAAGACUGAUGCAGCGAAGCGGCGUGGGGGAUGAGGGCGUUUGGGUUGUAAACUCCUCUCGCGAGGGUCACGGCGCGUUUGUGACGGUACCUGGAGAAGAAGCACCGGCUAACUACGUG
rnacentral:rRNA from 1 species